GACAGAGGAGCCUGGCGGGCUACGGUCCAGAGGGUCACAAAGAGUCAGACACCACUGAGCACAAUGAGCAUGUUUAAUUACAAACCAGACUUAGUUAGACAGGAACGGGCUGUGGCAGGAAAGAUAGCACCUGCGUUGCAAGGAGUAGGGGCCUAGAGGCCUCUUCUGGGCUGGAUCUCACCCAAGUAGUUGCUGAAGCAGGGGGAGAUGUUCAGGGAAGACUGGGUUAGGAAGCUGGGGCAGGAGCUAUUUAUCAACUGGUCUGGAGGCAUUUCAAUAUUUUAACCACCAGUACUGCUGGAUUGUCUUGCUGUCCACAGGGAAGGACAGCUCAGAUUAGAGGAUGUCUCUUAGUGCUGCCUAGAAUGGGGGCAAGGAAGUCUUCCUGGAAGAGGUGAGAACUGAAGGACCAGGCAGAGGGGAGAAGGCUGUUCUGGGGAGAGAACAACAUGCGCAAAGACUCAGUGAGCAGCCACCAAAUCCAGUUAAUAAACAGAAAGAAGAAAGGAAAGAAAGCAGAAAGGAGAGAAGGAAGCUGCAUAAACGGAGGCUCAGAGGGGCUACGGAGCACAUUCAAGGUCACAAGCUAGGAGGAGGUAAAGCGAGGAGAGGCAUCCAGUCUGGCUGCAGGAAGGAAGGAGCAACCAAGCACAAGCCUGGAACAGAAAAUCACUCAAGAGCCGGUUGACUGGAAAACCAGAGGGACUGAAGUAGCGUGGGGGACCCCCUCUGUCCAGUGCCGAUCUCCCACCAAAUAACCAUGGAACUGUUCAGAGGUCAGUCAAGCACCCCCAGGGAAGAUCCCUUUCACAGAUCUCUGGGGUACCAGACUCCAAAGCCACCCAUACUCACUCUCCCUAACAAGGAGCAAGGGGACCCCAACAUGUUGAGGGUGGGCUGAUGGACACAAUUUCAGCACCAAAUACUGCUGGUGCUCAGCUCUUUUGCAACACCUAGAUGAAAAUUACCUGUCCUUCUUUUUUUAAGAUUUUAUUAAUACAUUAAUAUUGGAUGUUACCAUCACUAUAAGGGUUUUGUUAUCACAAUGCCAUUCAGUACAUGUGAGGGCUUACUGUGUGCCAGGCACCAGGCAAAACAACUUACCCAGGUUACAGCCUUGAACAUUCACAGCAGCCCUAGGAAGCAUGUAGGAUUUAUGAUCCUCACCUUUUAGAGAUGGAAAGUUCCAAGGAUCACCUGCCCAAAGCGAUACAACAUGUGAGCCCCCAGAUACAGCCCCAGGCAACCAGAAGAUAUUUUCAGAAAAGGUCUACUUGUAGUACCAACCCCAGCUGCUUCCCCAAGAUCAGAAUGUCCAUCACAUUCUCCACUUGGCCCCAGUCCUAGGAGCACUGAGAUCCAAACCUGGCCUGCAUCUUGAGAAAACAGAGAACUGCCCCCCAACAGACCCUCCAAGGUCUCCCUUAAGGCUGCUCACAAGCAGGCCACAACACCCCUCACCUGGAGGGCUAAUCCAUCUCCUCUCUUGGGGUUUCGAGGCCGAGGCUGUUUAUUUCGCUUCAUCCUGUCCUGGCACUUGGUGCAGCACUGAAUACAAGAUGGCUUAAUAAGGCAACCAAGGCCCCUGGGGCCUCAACACCUGAGCAGAGCACCAGCAGGAUUGGCUUGCUAAUUGCCAAUGUCUCACCAUGGUGACUUGCACCCGGGCUGUUCUAGCCUAAGCUAAGUCACUUCAGUUGUGUCUGAC